CAUGCAUGCAUUCUGUAAUCAAAGAAGUAACUGGGAUGGAGUCGAUGUGGUAACCCAUAGUGCAGUAAAAUGAGACUGAGAGGACAGUGAAACCAAUGCACUGCGCACCAGCGUUAAGGGUCUGUGCUGCACUACAAAAACAGCUGCCAGGGACCACCCAUAUUGUUUUUUCAGGGACACUGAAGAAGUGGCUUAAAUAUGCACCGGAGAGAGAGGGAGGUGGAGGGAGGCGAACAAAUGAACGCGAUCAGGCGCCGCAGGAUCCUCGACCAUGAAUGAAUGUGUGUGUGUAAAUAAUAAUUAUAUUCGUUAGAAUAAUAGGGUUAUUUGGGGUUGGGUUGUUCGUGUUCGGUUAUCACGUUGUAUUGUUCAUUAUUGUCGCCAUCGUUGUUGUGUCAUGUUUGUUUGUUGGGUGCUCUAUGUGAGAGGAUUUUAAUAAAAGUAGUCUGCGUCGAGGGGUGUACGGG
ensembl:lncRNA